UUGAUUUUUCUUGUUUUUAAAAUCAGACGACAUCAAGAAGAGAGUAAAAACUUCGGCGGGAGCACGCCCGCAGUAGCCGGCGGCCGCUCGAGAGCGGACGUCCCGCCGAAGCAACUGGUCGAUACACAAAGGGUGGGAGGUUUCCGGCAGAGCCAGAAAAAAUUUCCCCAUAAUGAUCCUUCCGCAGGUUCACCUGUAAAAUACAUCAUUAGCACAGUUAUUAAAGAAGGAAAUCCGAACCUACUCACCUACGGAAA
rnacentral:misc_RNA from 1 species